CCGACGGGUGGCAGCAGUGAGGAAUAUUGGUCAAUGGACGAGAGUCUGAACCAGCCAAGUAGCGUGAAGGAUGACUGCCCGAUGGGUUGUAAACUUCUUUUAUAAAGGAAUAAAACGAGGCACGUGUGCCUUUUUGCAUGUACUUUAUGAAUAAGGAUCGGCUAACUCCGUGCCAGCAGCCGCGGUAAUACGGAGGAUCCGAGCGUUAUCCGGAUUUAUUGGGUUUAAAGGGAGCGUAGAUGGGUUGUUAAGUCAGUUGUGAAAGUUUGCGGCUCAACCGUAAAAUUGCACUUGAUACUGGCAGUCUUGAGUACAGUUUAGGUAGUCGGAAUUCGUGGUGUAGCGG
rnacentral:rRNA from 1 species